rnacentral:rRNA from 1 species
GACGAACGCUGGCGGCGUGCUUAACACAUGCAAGUCGAACGGAAAGGCCCUGCUUUUGUGGGGUGCUCGAGUGGCGAACGGGUGAGUAACACGUGAGUAAACUGCCCUUGUCUUUGGGAUAACUUCAGGAAAAUGGGGCUAAUACCGGAUAGGAGCUCCUGCUGCAUGGGGGGGGUUGGAAAGUUUCGGCGGUUGGGGAUGGAAUCGCGGCUUAUCAGCUUGUUGGUGGGGUAGUGGCUUACCAAGGCUGUGACGGGUAGCCGGCCUGGGAGGGUGACCGGCCACAUUGGUCCUGCGGGAGGGCCCAGACGCCUACGGUAGGCAGUAGGCGGGAAUAUUGCACAAUGGGCGGAAGUCUGAUGCAGCAACCCCGCGUGCGGGAUGACGGCCUUCGGGUUGUAAACCGCUUUCGCCUGUGCCGAACCGUUAGUGACGGUAACGGGUAAAGAAGCACCGGCUAACUACGUG